ensembl:lncRNA
AGUCCUGUGGUCCUAAAGACUGUCUUGGCUGACGGAACCUGUCGAAGGCUCACUCUCUAAUGGAGCGCCCGAAUCAACUGAGGAUCUCAUCGUUGAAGUCAAGAGACAGUGUGGUCUUCAGGGCAGUUUCAGACUUCAGUUUAUGGAUUCCUUGUUUGGGAAUGAGUUUCUUAAUCUUACCUCCGUUUCAGAAGUAGCAGACAAAGGGACUCUUAAAGCUAUUGACAUGUCAAAGCCCACCACAUGGACAUAAAAAGAGUAACAGAGUUGGUGAAACUCAAGAUGGAAGAGACUUUUUCAUACAGAAGACAUGAAGUUGUUCGUGAUGCACCAAUGGUGGAGGCUUUCAUGGCAAGAUGGCCUGCUCUAUUUGACUUCCAUGAGGUAAGGUUUGCCUCAUACACGGUGUUCUUGUGGUAUUAGCCUAAAAUGGUUAAGGCACAGUUGUUGUUUGACAGCCCAUUUCUUCAGCAUGAGUGAUUGCAGCCUUCUUCCAGGUAUUAAACCUUUGAAGCUCAUUCCUCUGUGCUCAUGUUUUCAGAUCAACGCUGAGUUUAAGAGAAUUGCCACCAUCCCCCCCUCAAACAAAGUUCCUGGCUCAGCUGGAUCUCCACUUGGACAACCUGGUGAAGUUGGUCAACAGAAGAGGAGAGCUUGGACUAAUACUGGAAAGAAUUGUGGCACAAAUGGAUAAUUGUGAAGAUGUUGAUGCUGGACGUGAGUGUGUCAAGGGAGUGUGUAUCUACAUGGGUGAAGACCCUGGCAUGCUUAUCCGGGAGUAUGUGGGCAUGGAAGAACGUGCCAUCAAUGAGACUGUUGAAGACACCACUGUUCGAAUUUAUCUUCUUAAAGAGCAAGCUUCAGCAGAAGAACAAGAGUUGUCCUUGCAGGCAUCAGGGUGGCGAAGAAUUUGGAUAAUGUAGCAUUUGCUGUGAUAAUGCUAUUUGGACUCAUGUAUGCAUUAAACCUUGCCUACCCUGCUGACCUCUGCUACACCUUUGACGUUUUCCAGAAGGUUUUCAUGGAACUGGAUGGAGCUAAACUCUCUAAAGUUCUUGCUUUUAAAAACCAUCUGUUUCAUUGAGAAGUCAAAGACUGCACUUCUGCAAUUCUUUGCAGUUUUUCAUUUUGUGUUCAGUAACGUUAUACUGCUUAUCUUUUUAUUGCUUUCCCCUCAUGUGACUGCAAGGAUGAUUUUUCCUUCUGGUAUUAUGUUGUAAGAAAUAUUUACUGACGAUUUUUAGCAAUAUGAUCUGAGUCAACCUUAAUGUCCUGCUUACAUGUUUAAAAGGAAGAUUAAGAUUCAUGUAGGUGUUUGGUAUUAGUUAUGUAACAAUGUCAUUUAAGGCUCAGCUUAGUUGAAAUUUUGUACAGGUAAAUACUUGUACAGAAGCUGAAACUGUUGUCAAAUAAUACACAAGUUAUAUUUGUGUAAAUCUGUUUAUUCAUAAAAGCGUGUUGCUUUUUUCAGGUAGUCUUAAUUUAGUUUAAAUUUUCAAUUGUGUAAUUAAUACAAAUGUUAUAUGUAAGAGAUGACAGGAUCAUCUAUAAGCACUUUCUUUUAUUUGCUGUUAAGGUCAGUUUUUUGUGAAAUAUUUCAAAUGUUUUACAUUUUUCUUUUAGUUAUUUCUGCAGGCUAUCUUUAAAAAUGUGUUAAGUUUAUAUUGAUGUGAUUUUGGGGUUGUUCAUGGCAGCUUGCUGCUUUCACUGCUGUUACAGUUUAAUAAAGGUGAAUUGUUCAGCAGCACUCACAGUCUUUGCCUUUUUUGUCAAUAAUGAUCAGUUAAUAUUUCAAUUGAAAAAAUUAAGUAGGAUUUAAAGCCAUAAUUUGUGUUGCAGGAACAUAAUUGCAAUGUGUUUACAUUACACAAUAUCAUUGCGUACCACUGGCAAUCAAAAAUAAGUUGGUGUUAAACAUUAAAAUAUAUUGACAUUAUGCAAUGCAUUGAUAUUAUGGUAACAAAUAAAUAGUAUGUACAUCAAACAUGAUUUUUUAAAGUAAUCUGAUGUAAAUAAAAUACUUUGAUUUGACAAGCAUUAAUUACUUGAGGGAAAGUGGAAAAUUAAGUCAGUCAUACUUAUUCAUAUUAUGUGGGACCGAUGUACACAAUAAAAUCAAGUAAAUUGAAAGAACUUUUUUUUUCAGUGUGGGCAGAUUAGGUGCACUUCGCUUUUACUUAGCUGGGCCCCCUUUUUGCCUUAAUUCUUAGUGGUAAACAUUCCUCAUGACUGUUGGUUCAUAUUUAAAUGAUAGCAUCACACAGUUGCUGCAGAUCCAUGAUGGCACUCCCCCACUCCCCCACAUCCCAAAGGUCUACAGAAGGUACACUGAACCCAAUUUCAUAUUCUAGAGACCCAUGUGAGGUGAUUUGAGCUGCAUAAUAUGGCACAAUAUCCUGAUGGAAGCAGCUAUCAAAAGAUGGGUACACUGUGUCAUAAAAAGAUAGACAUGGUCAGCAACAACACUU